UUUAAACUGCUGAAAAGGAUUAGUAAAUAUUAAUGAGGCUUCAGAGAGCUGGCGGUUGGUGCAAGUCAGUGCUGAUUGAUAUUGAAUCCACCUUGGAGGGUUUGCGAUGAGCAAAACGGUUGCGGCCGUUAUACCGCAGAAAGAGAACCAUAAUUCUUUAAAAAGAUAUGGUUAAUUUGGGUGGCAACGCGGAAGAUAAGUCUUUCGUCCCUGUU
rnacentral:ncRNA from 1 species